UACGGAGGGUGCGAGCGUUGUCCGGAAUUAUUGGGCGUAAAGAGCUCGUAGGCGGUGUGUCACGUCGAUCGUGAAAACGUACAGCUUAACUGUGCGCGUGCGGUCGAUACGGGCAUCACUGGAGUUCGGCAGGGGAGACUGGAAUUCCUGGUGUAGCGGUGAAAUGCGCAGAUAUCAGGAGGAACACCGGUGGCGAAGGCGGGUCUCUGGGCCGAUACUGACGCUGAGGAGCGAAAGCGUGGGGAGCGAACAGG
rnacentral:rRNA from 1 species